rnacentral:rRNA from 1 species
AGGACGAACGCUGGCGGCGUGCUUAACACAUGCAAGUCGAACGGUAAGGCCCUUCGGGGUACACGAGUGGCGAACGGGUGAGUAACACGUGGGUGAUCUGCCCUGCACUUCGGGAUAAGCUUGGGAAACUGGGUCUAAUACCGGAUAGGACCACGGUCUGCAUGGAUUGUGGUGGAAAGCUUUUGCGGUGUGGGAUGGGCCCGCGGCCUAUCAGCUUGUUGGUGGGGUGAUGGCCUACCAAGGCGACGACGGGUAGCCGGCCUGAGAGGGUGUCCGGCCACACUGGGACUGAGAUACGGCCCAGACUCCUACGGGAGGCAGCAGUGGGGAAUAUUGCACAAUGGGCGCAAGCCUGAUGCAGCGACGCCGCGUGGGGGAUGACGGCCUUCGGGUUGUAAACCUCUUUCAGCAUCGACGAAGCGCAAGUGACGGUAGAUGCAGAAGAAGCACCGGCCAACUACGUG